GGCCACAGCCAUAUCACCCUACAGCCCAACACUGGUUACUCACUGAAGCUAAGCAGGGCUGAGCCUGGUCAGUACCUGAAUGGAAGACCACAUAGAAAACUAGGUUGCUGUUGGAA
rnacentral:rRNA from 1 species